AUGCUCUUGCGACCACUCCAGGCACGAUUGGCACCCUUCUGCAGAAGUUAAGAAAUCUCCAAAACAGUUGGCUGCUUACAUAAAUAGAACAGUUGGACAAACUGUGAAAAGCCCAGAUAAACUUCGUAAAGUGAUCUAUCGCAGAAAGAAAGUUCAUCAUCCCUUUCCAAAUCCUUGUUACAGAAAAAAACAGUCCCCUGGAAGUGGGGGCUGUGACAUGGCAAAUAAAGAAAAUGAACUGGCUUGUGCAGGCCACCUGCCUGAAAAAUUACACCAUGAUAGUCGAACAUAUUUGGUUAACUCCAGUGAUUCUGGUUCUUCACAGACAGAAAGCCCAUCAUCAAAAUAUAGUGGGUUUUUUUCUGAGGUUUCUCAGGACCAUGAAACAAUGGCCCAAGUUUUGUUCAGCAGGAAUAUGAGAUUGAAUGUAGCUUUAACUUUCUGGAGAAAGAGAAGUAUAAGUGAACUUGUAGCUUAUUUGUUGAGGAUAGAAGAUCUUGGCGUUGUGGUAGAUUGCCUUCCUGUGCUCACCAAUUGUUUACAGGAAGAAAAACAAUAUAUCUCACUUGGCUGCUGUGUUGACUUGUUGCCUCUAGU
rnacentral:lncRNA from 10 species